ACAAUCAUAGAGGAAGAAAUUAAGGGAAUAAGUUCAUAAAUAAAUCUUCCUUCAAAAAAAAAAGUUCAUAAAUAAAUCAAUACAUCUCACAUUCUCUGGGUAACCACCGCAGCCACCGCCCCUCCAUUUGAGUCUGACAAAGUGACCUUCCCCUCUCUCUCUGAAACAAAAGUGAAAAAACAUAACCCAAAAUCAAAAUUCAAGGUCUCUCCUCUCUCAUUCGAUAAUGAGAGUUUAGAAGUAUGAAGAUGUCAUGAGUGAGUAAAAUGGAGUUAGUGUUAAAUUUUGUACUUAAACAAAAAGGGGAAAAGGAAACAAGAAAUUGAAGGUUAGUUUGUGGCCCAAUCAUUGUUUGAUUCUGGUUGUGCUAUUCUUGUUUUAUGCAAUUCUUGUAUUCUGGUCAUGGUUAGUUUUAUGUUAUUCUUGUAUAAGUAUUCUUUUUGCACAAUCUUUGUUUGAGUGGAGUAAUGCAUUUUACAAAGUGCAUUGGGAAAGAGUUCAUCAUAUAGUAGCAAAUAAGGAAUAAUCAAGUGAGCAAGGCAACUUAACAGAUUUUUUGUGUAUAAAUAAAGUGUGAGAUAGUCCAACUCAAACGCAUAAGUGCCUCCGCAAAAUGGCGAAGAAGAGCGAACAUCUUCCUCAAGAAGUGAUUAAUGAAAUCCUGUUGAGGUCCAUCCAUUGUUGUCAACAAACAAAUACCUCUGUCUCCUAUAACUCUUACCUACAAUGAAUAUAUUAUCAACUUUCUGUGUGGCUUGACAUAUGAACCGUCAACUGAUGAUUACUUGGUAGUUUUGGGGUACUACCAAUACGAUGAUAACUUUUUGGAAUCUGGUUUAACUGACUUGGAGAUUUUCUCAUUGAGAGCUAAUAAGUGGAAACAAAUUGAGUUUGGUUCUCCUUUGCCUUACAAGUCUCCAUAUGACGCGUGUCGCAGACUCGGGUCCUUCUUGAAUGGGGCUAUUCAUUGGCUUAGUAAAGUUGUCAUAUUAACUUCAUCUUUAACUUAUUUCAUCAUUUAUGUUUUAUCUUUUACAUUAUUUUAUAUGUUAUUGUUGUGUUAAAAUAGAAUUGGAUUUAUAUGAUUUAAAUGAUGCUUACUAAGGUCUAUUUGUAGGUAAGAUUGAUUGAAACUGUGUCAUGAUCAAAGUUUCUCUGCAUUUGUAUCAUUGUAUGUGUUUGUUUAUGGAUGAGUUUGGCUAAGGUGGUCUUACCACUUCACAAAAGUCAAAGCAGGAUUAACUUUUGGCUAAACCUUUUA